rnacentral:lncRNA from 1 species
AAUUCAUUGAUGACCUGUGAGAGUAAGCUAAAAGAUAUGAAAAUUAUUCAUAAAAUUGCUCGAGAUUGUCAAAAAAACAUUAUGGAUCUUGAACGCACUUUACAUUUCUCUAAGAAGAAAAUGCAAAAACUAGCAAAAAGUUUGAAAUUGGAAGAUCGGCAAGAAUCUGAAAUGAAGGAAAGGCGGGAGGCUUUUGUACAUGAAGAUGCUAAAACGAAAUUGAACAGACUUUUAUUAGAGCAGUUGCUGAAGCAAAAUUCUGAGAAUUUUGAAAGAAAAGAAAGGAUGCAAUCACAAUUAGAACAAGCAGAGAAAGAGUACCAAGGUCACAUCUUAAAAUCAUUAGGUGUGAUCAAGGAAGCCUCUAAUUCGUUUAAGAAGGUAAGUAAGGAAAUUUUUCACGAGGAACAGAUCUAUACUAUAUUCCUGUAG